AUUGAACGCUGGCGGCAUGCUUUACACAUGCAAGUCGAACGGCAGCACGGGCUUCGGCCUGGUGGCGAGUGGCGAACGGGUGAGUAAUAUAUCGGAACGUACCCAGAAGUGGGGGAUAACGUAGCGAAAGUUACGCUAAUACCGCAUACGAUCUAUGGAUGAAAGCAGGGGACCGCAAGGCCUUGUGCUCCUGGAGCGGCCGAUAUCUGAUUAGCUAGUUGGUGAGGUAAAGGCUCACCAAGGCGACGAUCAGUAGCUGGUCUGAGAGGACGACCAGCCACACUGGAACUGAGACACGGUCCAGACUCCUACGGGAGGCAGCAGUGGGGAAUUUUGGACAAUGGGCGCAAGCCUGAUCCAGCAAUGCCGCGUGAGUGAAGAAGGCCUUCGGUUGUAAAGCUCUUUUGUCAGGGAAGAAACGGUAGAGGCUAAUAUCCUUUGCUAAUGACGGUACCUGAAGAAUAAGCACCGGCUAACUACGUG
rnacentral:rRNA from 1 species